AUCCAAUGGCUGACGAGUCCCAAAAAGGACGAAAUACGCAUCCUGGAU
rnacentral:hammerhead_ribozyme from 1 species